UUCCUAUUCUAUAGACUUCUUGACUUCUCCGUUCCUGUUUUCCCCAUCCAUCUCCUCCGAUCCCCUUUCUCUUUUCCUAAAUCUUGCUUCUAACUCUAAAAUUGCUGCUGCUGGAUAUCUCCCAUCAGCUUUCUUUGCUGAUUCGCUUCAUGGAGGUUUAUCUUCCUCACCUGGAGCCACCCUCGCAGCUGGUUAUGGCACAUGUUCAGCAUGGACGGCGGCUUGUGUUUGUCCUCCUACGCCUCUUCGGUCGCCUAGGCUUGUAAAGGGCGGCGGCGGCGUCCGUGUAAUCUCUUUGGUCGUUGAUUUCAUCUCCUGCGGACCUGCAGCCCUCUUGCAUGUAGCUUGAGUAUGAGAUUGCUGGCUACGUUUUCUUUCACAAGUGCGUAAAGCAGACACAUCGUUUCAAUUUCUGCUCGAGGUAGCCCGGCACAUCAUCCUAAUCCUUCAUAGUGGUAACAUUCUUCAAAGUUCGACCUGAAGGUCCCUAUUUUUCCUUUUCUGACUCUGUAAUUUAUCCCCUUUUUCUUAUCUUUUUCCUAUGGUUGUGCGGUUGAAACAAUAUAAUGUAAUCAACGAAAUGACUUUUAGUGGUAAACAUUUCAUAAUUUUUCUUUCUAAUCUCGGAAAAACAUAUGUUUUUUUGUAAGUGCUCUAUAACUGUUGAAUAAGGUAGUACACAGUAGCUAGUAAUAAGUUCAUGAAAAAUUUAAAAUUUACUUAUAUGUAUGAGCAGACAUACCAAUCAAAAUUAGUACUAUAUCGGUAUAUUAAUUUAUACUAAUCCAAAUUAGAACACGGAAUGGAACUUUGUGUUUAUCUUAAAAACAAUACAAGAAAGUAUGUACUUUUGACCUCACUGCUAGAUUUGUUUCUUUUCACAACUCUUCAUGGUUUCUCGUCGGUAGGUCCUUUUGACAUGUGUAUAGUUUUGUUCGCAAUCUUUAUCUGAAUCAUCCUCUUUGGUAAUUAUAUUUGAACCUGCAGCUCAAAUGUUCCGUACCUCCUUGUCAAAUAGAUUUUCCAGUUUUUUGUCGGUGGCAUCAUGAAAUAAUAGUAGUAUUAAUAUAUACAGAAGAGGGAAAAUAAUUUGAACGAAUACCUAUCGAACAGAUUUUUCUCUAUAAGAACUUUAUGUUAUUUCACGAAGCCUUUCUUUUCAAAUCCUGUUUACAUCUCUUACGUUUUGUCUCUCGUUUUAUCUUCUGCGAAACAGUUUUUGCCUCUGCCUGUGUGGUUUGUGAUGUCAUAAAUAAAUACACCGUAAAAACUAUUAAUGCAUAUACAGGGUGACAAUGUUUUCAAUUUGUUACCUUGUCAUCAGGAGCUUCAGUUUUAACAAUUGGUUUUCUGCUAUUUCUGGAAGCAAACAUUGACACAUCUUUUUCAUAUUUUUGAUAGACUUCUGUCUCUUUGUCCUCCAUUGUUGUUUUUUGUUAGAUGAUUUAGAAGUUACCUUUCUGCACAUAUCUUUCUUCUCAUCUUUUGUCGCAGUCUUGGAAGAGUGGUUGCCCGAUAAUUUUUAUUUUUUUAAUAUUUUAAAGAAAAAUGUGCACACUUGUGAUAGCUAAACCAUUAGUUAGUGGCAAUACCUCAUUAUAUGACUUCUGUGUAAUAGAAUUUGAAGAACCCUGUGUAUCUUACCUUUCCAGUAUGCCCUAUAAAGAACGUACUGACUUUAUAAGUUCAUAAACCAUUUAAAAUACUAAAAUGUGCAUGUGCAUACCUCUUCAACUAUUUCAUUUGAAUAUUCCAUCUCAAGUUUGUUGUCAACUUCAAAAGUGAAGCUCGCUUUAAAAUAUUCCAUGCACUCUUGUAGAUUCCUUUAAUAUGAAAUAGCCAACUAUAGCCCCACUAUAGCUGAUGUGAAGGACUGCUGCUAUUUGGCAUAGCCCGCUAUUUGAUACAUUGGUUCAUACCUAAGCACUGUUUAUCUAUAUUCACCCUACUCUACAAGGUAUCACUAUCAGCAAAUUCAAAGUGGUAGUCUAAAAACUUGGAUUUUUCUCCAUCCACUUCCUUCACUGUUGUAUAAAAAGAAACUGAUUUUAAGAUUGUUCUUCAAUGGUCGAUAUUUUUCAUACUUCCAGACUUUGAAGGUCUUAGCUAUGUAGAUGGAGUCCUCUUUAAUUUUUGCUUUAAAUUUAUUGACCAGUUUGCUCCCAAUAGAAGCAUGGAUCACAUUGCCCUACAUAGAGAUAAAACAUUAGCAAAUUUUGGUAAAGGAAAACUAAAGAGACAUUAUAUAUGUAAUACUUGCACCUUAUAUAGAAAAAUCAAUCAGUGCUAAUGAGUUCAUUAGUCAAUAAGUUAAUUGUGUCCUAAAGUCUUACAACUUUGAUUGUCCAUGUCUCGUUUCGUGUAGUCAAUGCAUUCAAUGGUGUAGGUGCCAUAGUCUUUCAGGCCCUAAAAGUAUAAGAACUUAAAGUUGAUUGGUAAAGUAAUAUAAUGCCAUGCAAGCUUUAUAAUUACGGAAAAAUAUUGUUGCAACUGCCCCCAGUGAUUGUGUGACAACAAAAAAGAUUGAAGAUUUUUUAGACUGGAAUAGAUAUAUGAAAUCAUAGUAGAUUAAUAAAUACAAUUUUAUUAACAGCUGGUCUGAAAUUUUUGUUUCAGAUGUAGCUGCUGGCAUUACGACAGGAACCCACUAUCGAAUUUGAGAUUGUACUUACUUGAUAUGGUCUGAUUGCUCGACGGAGCUGGCUUGUGCCCGCUGGAGGAAGACAAUUCCGAAGUGCCACUGGUUGUUGGAAGUGGACCUCGAAGUGUUGUUCGUCAGAGGAAGAUAAUGUAGAAAUUGUACCCUAAAACCUAGAGGACAAUGAACCUCUGAGGCUUUUCAGAUUGUACUUACUUGAUAUGGUCUGAUUGCUCGACGGAGCUUGCUUGUGCCCGCUGGAGGAAGACAAUUCUUAAGUGCCACUGGUUGGGAAAAGUUGAUCUCAAAGUGUUGUUCGCCAAAGGAAGAUGAUGUAGAAAUUGUACCCUAAAACCUAGAGGAUAAUGAACCUCUGACGCCGUGGAAGCAUUGCAUCGGGAGGUAGUUUAGGGAUGGCUGAGUUUACCAAGUUUGCACGAUGGAAAGAGAGAUAUUAUGUUUGCAGCGAUUGAAUCUUUGAACAUUAUUGAUGAUAGUUUGGAUUUGUUU